ensembl:rRNA 5S_rRNA 5S ribosomal RNA
GCCAGCAGCUAGCUCUCUAAAACUCUCACAUGGUCACUCACUGAAGCUAAGCAGGGCUGCGCCCGAUCAGUAGCUGAAUGGGAGACCACAUGGGAAAGCUAGGUUGCUGCUGGAA